CGGCAGAUAUAAGCAAUGGAAGUUGGGUGAAGUGAUAAAGCUGGGCAUAUCCAUCAAAUAUGAUUGUAGUUCUCUUGAGAAAAGUACCAGCAACCUUCCUUGAUUUUACAGAAAAUACUUUUUUAGAGAAGUAUUUUCCAUUUUUCAGGUUCUUGCAUGUAUGGUCUUGUGUUGUUUCUUUUGACUUUCUCCUAACUUGUGUACGGCGGUGAUCGCGAAACACUCUCCUCUUGUUGGCAUCGAUCAUAUUUGAAGAUAGGCUAUUUUGGUCCGGCGUUGUACUUGGAGGUGAUUGUGGACGUGCUCUCCUUUCUUGAUCUCACACCAUCCGUUUAAGCGUGUGCUUUCAUUGCCUCCAACUCUGGUUCUUCGUUAAAUCAGGCUUUCACGAGCGAUGACCAAAGAGACGAGAGUUGGGGGUAACGCUUCUAGAGUUCGCCUUUUGGGUCAAGAUUUGGGUCAUUUGGCUAUUAAAGUCUUUUAUGUCGUUAAUGGGUUAGUUUCUAUUUAUGGGCCUUGACACCCAUAAAAAUUAUGAAAAAAUAAUAAAAUAAAAUAUAUUUAAAAUAAAUAUAAUUAAAAUUUUAAUAAAAAAUUAUUUUUUUAAAUGGAUAAAAAAAAUUCAUAAAAAAAUAAAAAAAAUAAAAAUUACAAAAAAUAUGGAAUACUUAAAAACUAAGGAAGAUGUGUUAAUUAACACAUCUUAUGCACAUGAAUCUCAGAUAAUUUAUAUUCAUCACAAGUUUAAAUUAUUAACCAAAUCUGAAACGAACAGUAUAACUUCACCGGCACUGUGUUAAAGACUUGUAGUGCUGCAUUCACACAAUAAGAUUUAUGAUCAUCAACAACUCAAGUUUAAUUCUUUUAAAUAUCGAUUUAACCAUAACUUUAACAGUCAAAUUUCAACCAAAAAAAAUCUAAAAAAUGUUACUGUGUCCAAUAAAAAUAAAACACUCAAAAAGACAAUUGUUUAAUUUUUCUCUGGAAUCAAACACCACAUCGAAAAAGACUUUUGUAGGAAAACAAGAAAGGAGUCAGAAAUCUCGUGUGGAAAGUGCCGCUCAUUGCGCCAGUCUUACGAGAGAUUGGAGCUGCGUUAGCACAAGAGUUUCAUCACUCUCUCUGAGAAUCUGAGUAAUCCACCAAGAGAACAACUUAACAAAUCCAUUGAAAACACCCGGUGGCUCAAAUCCGAAGAAUGAAAGAACGAAAAAGAAGAAAGACAAUUCAAGAGAGAGAGAGAGAGAGAGAGAGAGAGAAAGAAGGAUCGCGAUCUCUUCCGGCUCAGCGACGGUGCGAGGCGAAGCUGAAGUUGGCGAUUUAUAGGGCUCGUGAGUCUUGCCUAUGGCUUAUAUAGUGGGAGCUGGCUAUCUUGUGCUAGGUUUGCCCUAAUUCACAACUGAAAAUUGAUGUUAAAACGGUUUGUCGUUUAAAUGUGCUUUCUUAAAUAACCAAUAAUAACAUUUUAUUUAUGCAAAUGCGUAUAUCAAAU
rnacentral:lncRNA from 1 species